ACCAAUUAACCUUUCCUCCAUCUCCGGCCCCUUUCCUCUAUAUUCGGCCCACCCAUUCUCCCUUUCCACCCAUCGUUAUGCUUGACAUUUGUUUGGGUAUUUUCUGUCAUCCUCAAGCGUGACCUAACCUAAAAUCUUUGUUUUUUAUAUUUUGGUUUAGCCCAGUGGCUUAUAGGUUGUGUUCUUUCCUGGUUUAUGUAAGUAAGGGAGGAUUUCGUUGGGGCUAUCGGUUUGGGUUACUUUGGAUCUGGUGUGGUAGCCUUCUUGGAAGGUGUUUGGUUGUUUUUGGUGUUUUUCAAAUCUUUGGCGGUGUUGGUUUGAUCUUGUUCUGGUCUCCAAAUUCUGGGUUCAAUUGAUGGGCUCUGUUCUGGCUCCGGUGCUUUGGAUUUAAGGUCUUAUCCUGUCGAUCCGUGUGCUUGUGCAAACUGGGUUUCAUGUUUUAAUUUGUUUAUCUUUGUCAUGACUAUAUUUGGGAGUUCUGUGCUUAUUUAUUGCGGUUUUAUUGUAUUUCCCCUUCAAUAAUCAGUUUGGGUUUUCUUAUUUGAUCUGUUUGUUUUUCGUUCAAAUAGAUUUAUCUUUCCAGUGGAAUAAUCGGUGUUUAUUGUCGAAAAUCAUUUCUUGAUCUGAUCUCUGUUUGUUUGGGUUGAUUGGCCGGAUUCAGGUGAUUAAUUGCUAUGGUAUGCUAUCUCCUCCUUUUUUCUGGGUAUGGUAGCUGCUAAUGCUAUUUUGGAUCUAGGCUAAUUUUGUCGCCGACAGCCAUGGUGGCUUGCUGUUCUUACGUGGAUUAGUAUAUUAAUAACACCUCCAUAAUUCGACCCCUGUAAUGCAGCAAAUCUGGACCUGAAAGAUAGCAAAUGUAGUCCAUCUGCUAAUUUGAAAUUUGAAAGCGUGGGCCCCAAUUGCAUAGUCCAAGGUCAACCUCAUUCUUCCCCAUACUGGAAUAACAACUACCGGCGAACUGCAGCAGUGACCAGUCAGAGAGACGCCCAACCAGAUGGAAACAGAUAUGCGCCGGAAAUCCCUUACCAGAUCCAACAAACAACGAUAAUUACAUACCAAAUCUGGAUAAAUGGAAGAACAUACCUAUAAAACGGCCAAAUCAUUUCAUCAAAACUGAAAUCAAAAUCCCAUCUGAACCUGUACAAAGAUAAUCGAUAAAUAGAACAUGAACAUGUCAUUUUCUUUUCUUUUUCCUUUUUCUUUUACCAGCCACAUAGGAAAAAAACAUGAAAUAGUUUAACUAACGUUUAGUCAAUUUAAACUCAAUUGUUUUUUUAAUUAGUUUACUGAUGUAAUUUGAAAAAUUAAAAAUUCUGUGAUGUAAUAAAUAAAACAUGCCACCUAUGGUGGCGAAAUUAUUAGUUUUUCCAAUCAAAAUAUUACUCCCUCCAUUCC
rnacentral:lncRNA from 1 species